rnacentral:lncRNA from 1 species
UACUGGGCUCUAAAAUCUGAUUCUAGCUCCCAGGUAGCUUCCCUUGGCGAGUGGUUCUGCCACACUACCUUUACAAAUGAUAUUUUUCGGUUGCGGAGUGUUCUGCUCUUUCGGUCCGUGAUACCGACUGGGACUUCCUCAUAAGAUAAGUUCCCUUGGAGUGGGAGCGGUUCAUGAGCCAAGACAUGAGAGGGGUCCGGGUUGUACUUACGUAGCAUGGAUACAUGGAACACAUUGUGAACCUUGGAGAGCUCUGGAGGCAGUGCUAGUAUGUAGGCAACAGUACCAAUCCUGUCUAAGAUUUCAAAAGGUCCAAUAAAUCGGGGGUUCAGUUUUUUCC